rnacentral:rRNA from 1 species
CAGUAGCCGCGGGAAUACGUAGGGUGCAAGCGUUAAUCGGAAUUACUGGGCGUAAAGCGUGCGCAGGCGGUUAUAUAAGUCAGAUGUGAAAUCCCCGGGCUCAACCUGGGAACUGCAUUUGAGACUGUAUGGCUAGAGUGUGUCAGAGGGGGGUAGAAUUCCACGUGUAGCAGUGAAAUGCGUAGAGAUCGGGAGGAACAUCAGUGGCGAAGGCGGCCAUCUGGGACAACACUGACGCUGAGGCACAAAAGCGUGGGGAGCAAACAGGAUUAGAUACCCCAGUAGUCCCUGUCUCUUAUAC